CAGCCGCCGCGGGAAUACGUAGGUGGCAAGCGUUGUCCGGAAUUAUUGGGCGUAAAGCGCGCGCAGGUGGUUUAAUAAGUCUGAUGUGAAAGCCCACGGCUCAACCGUGGAGGGUCAUUGGAAACUGUUAAACUUGAGUGCAGGAGAGAAAAGUGGAAUUCCAUGUGUAGCGGUGAAAUGCGUAGAUAUACGGAGGAACACCAGUGGCGAAGGCGGCUCUCUGGUCUGUAGCUGACGCUGAGGCUCGAAAGCGUGGGGAGCAAACAGGAUUAGAUACCCGAGUAGUCCCUGUCUCUUAUAC
rnacentral:rRNA from 1 species